GGCAGUUCUCGGGUGAUGCACCCUGGAAUCAGGCUCCCUCCUCUCUGGUUCUGGUGUGUCACUUGAGAACCAUA
rfam:Myotis brandtii contig243414, whole genome shotgun sequence.